UACGUAGGGCGCAAGCGUUGUCCGGAAUUAUUGGGCGUAAAGAGCUCGUAGGCGGCCUGUUGCGUCCGCUGUGAAAUCCCGAGGCUCAACCUCGGGCCUGCAGUCGAUACGGGCAAACUAGAGUACUGCAGGGGAGACUGGAAUUCCUGGUGUAGCGGUGAAAUGCGCAGAUAUCAGGAGGAACACCGGUGGCGAAGGCGGGUCUCUGGGCAGUAACUGACGCUGAGGAGCGAAAGCGUGGGGAGCGAACAGG
rnacentral:rRNA from 1 species